CAGAAACCAAAAGGUUCAAAUGACAGUUUCUAAUGCAGUCUCUGUACAAAAGGAGAAUCUGGUGAGAAUCAGCUUAGUGUUUUUUUACAACGGGGAGAAGACGAUGAUACUUUCCAGCUUCAAAAGCUUCUUUAUUUAUUAUUAUUUGAGCUCCUUAUUCUACCCAAGCAAUGGUUUUGAGGUGAUCCAGCCACAGAAUAAGACUAAUAACCCAGAUACAGUUUUCAUCAGCUGUAACUUUACAGCAAACACUGGGACAAUUGUAGAUGUUCGACUCAACAAGGUUUUACCAGAGAAAAAGAUGCUCUGCCAGACUGAAUCUGAAGCCUGUCAUAACAUUAUCGUACUUAAAGACGCUCCAUUCAAGUACAUUUUCAUCUUACUCAAUGCUGGGCCAGAGGCAUGGACCUCAAAGUAUGAAUGUGAGUGGUCAGCAACAAAUAAGGAUGGGACGGACAAAACCGUGACAAGUGCAGCAAACAAAUUAAUUAAACUGCAACUACAAGGUCAACUGGGAACCACACCACAGUGUACUCCUCCCCCUUCACCUCCUCCCCCUCAGUCCCAUCAGCUCAUGUGGAUUUUGAUUGGUCUGCUGGCCCUGAUGUUUGUGUACAGCUGUAUCAUCACCUCCUUCUACAUGAGGCUUAUGGUGACUAUCUGUCAGAAUUACUAUUUUUCUGAGGCUGUAAUUUACGAUAUAUGUCUUUAUAUGUCUUAGUGUGUUUUUUAUCAGAUGUUUGUUAUCAUCUUGCCCGGACGCAACGUUAAAAGGUCCACAAAGCAGCUGAAAGCAGCUUUUAUGAUGGUCAGCCAGGUAAUAGAUGAAGGGAGAUGUUUUGGUAGAGAUUUUUACACAGCCGUAGUUCAUUUUCUAAAUGAGAAAGAAUUCAGGUUUAAACUUUUAUAUAAGGUCUAUGAUAUGACCACAGCUUUCACUGUUGUUGAGGGCUUCGGGAGCUUCUUUUGAUCGUUGUUAUUUUGAGACUUUCUUAGUCUGAAAUCAUAUUUGUUUGUUUUUCCAAUUACAAUUUAAAAAGAUUUUUGUUUCCAACUCAGUAUAAGCUGUUUAUAAGCUGCUUUGAAAUUCUGCUUUUUUUACAUUCACAACAGACGAUACAAAGCCAUAAAAUAAUUGUUCAGCUCAUAACAACACACAGUGGAUGUUCCGUGUCAACCUCAAGAGUUCUUUGAAAUGAAACAUCAAACUGACCCACACAGAUUUUUAUUGACAUCAGACAUUGUUACAGUUAGACACACACAAGUUAAAUUUAUAAUGUUUCCUAAUAAGCUGACUGUAAAUAUGAAAUGCACAAAAGCAGGACGUCCCCAAAACUGAAUGCAGUUUUAAUGCAUCAUUUUCUGCUAUGAGACUGUAAAACGCCUGCUGAGCAAUAGGCUCCAGCCCUUGUAACAUAACUAAUGUGAAAUUAGUCUAUAAGGUGUUCUUUAGAGUUAAAAGACUUUCAAAUACUUACUGCUUUUCUUUGUUACAUAAAUUCCAUCAAUUUUGACAAGCGUCCCGACACCACUGUUGAAAUGUGGCCCCAAACCAUCACGCUGUGUUUUACAGUUGGCUGUAUACACUCACUAUUCCACCUCUUUCCUGACCUCCUCUCUAUAUCUUGAUGCCAAUGUGCCGCUGAUUUUCACUCUACUUCUUGAAAAAUUUGGCACACAUCAGCCGUUUUCUCCCUGUUUUCUCUGAUCCCAAAGAAUCACUGUCCAUGUUUGCAAAUUUUGCUUCAUCUGACCACAGAAGAGUUUUCCACUCGACGAUGCCGACCGGAGGAUUGUGACUUUGAUCCUUUGUCCCUCGAGCAUAAAGAUUUCUCCUGAUUCUUGGAAACUUUUACUGUUAUGUACUGUAGAAAGUUAUUCUAUUUUACAUUGAAGACCAUUGUUCUGGAAUUGUUUCACAAUUUGUAGACAGUUUUUUCAAAGUGAGUUAGCAGACAGUUAAUAAGAUACUGAAAGACAUCCAUAAAAACUGUCCUGCCUUUGUGCCGUGCCUGAACACCCAGUUUUAACAGCAGUAUUAUUAUUAAAUACAUUUAACAGAAUAAAGCUAUCAAAAGAAUGAGGCAAAUUGAAAACCGAAAUGUCUGCAUCUCCUCUGCACUUAAUGUUACUAAACUAAUUACUUGAAAAGAAAUCCUGCUGUAGGUGAUGUGUCACUUUUGUGUUUUUUUUUGUUUCAGAACAGCAGCAAAGAUUGCGAAAACUCCACCUAUGUUGAAAUGAGGAACGUUCCAGUUCAGCUGCAUCCUCACCACAUUUACAAUACUAUGCAAAAGGCUUGAGCUGCCCCUCAUUUCUUUAUAUCUUAUUAGGAAAAUGGGUAAUAGGUUCAACAAUGUCUUAAAACAUGUAAAAAUACAUGGAAAUACAGUAUCUGCAGUAAAUACAACUGUGUACACAAAUGCAUAAACAGAGUCUGCACAAUUCUAAGGAACUUUAAAUAUUUCAUAUGACCAAACUUAUUCUUCUACAUAGCCUG
ensembl:lncRNA